rnacentral:rRNA from 1 species
AGAGUUUGAUCAUGGCUCAGGACGAACGCUGGCGGCGUGCCUAACACAUGCAAGUCAAGGGGAAAGCCCUGCUUCGGCGGGGUGAGUAUACUGGCGGACGGGUGAGUAACGCGUAGGCAACCUGCCCUUUCGAACGGGAUAACCCAGCGAAAGUUGGACUAAUACCGUAUACUGCAUAUUAAUCGCAUGAUUACUAUGUUAAAGGUUGCUCUUCGGAGCACUCGCGAAGGGAUGGGCCUGCGUUCCAUUAGUUAGUUGGUGAGGUAACGGCUCACCAAGGCAGCGAUGGAUAGCUGAUUUGAGAGAGUGGUCAGCCACACUGGGACUGAGAUACGGCCCAGACUCCUACGGGAGGCAGCAGUGAGGAAUAUUGCGCAAUGGAGGAAACUCUGACGCAGCAACGCCGCGUGGGGGAUGAAGUUCUAUGGAGCGUAAACCCCUGUAAGUAGGGACGAAAGGUAGAUAUUCGAACAGGGUAUUUAUUUGACGGUACCUACAGAGUAAGCUCCGGCUAACUCCGUGCCAGCAGCCGCGGUAAUACGGGGGGAGCAAGCGUUGUCCGGAAUUACUGGGCGUAAAGGGCGUGUAGGCGGUUUAAUAAGUCAGAUGUAAAAGCCCCCGGCUUAACCGGGGAUAGUCAUUUGAAACUGUUAGGCUUGAGUGCGAGAGAGGGUAGUGGAAUUCCCAGUGUAGCGGUGAAAUGCGUAGAUAUUGGGAAGAACACCAGUAGCGAAGGCGGCUACCUGGCUCGCAACUGACGCUAAGGCGCGAAAGCGUGGGGAGCAAACAGGAUUAGAUACCCUGGUAGUCCACGCUGUAAACGAUGAACACUAGGUGUUGGUUUGCCGCAGGCUGAUCAGUGCCGCAGUUAACGCAUUAAGUGUUCCGCCUGGGGAGUACGAUCGCAAGGUUGAAACUCAAA